rnacentral:rRNA from 1 species
GCAGUCGAGCGGUAAGGCCUUUCGGGGUACACGAGCGGCGAACGGGUGCCUAACACGUGGGUGAUCUGCCCUGCACUUCGGGAUAAGCCUGGGAAACUGGGUCUAAUACCGGAUAUGACCUCCUAUCGCAUGGUGGGUGGUGGAAAGAUUUAUCGGUGCAGGAUGGGCCCGCGGCCUAUCAGCUUGUUGGUGGGGUAAUGGCCUACCAAGGCGACGACGGGUAGCCGACCUGAGAGGGUGACCGGCCACACUGGGACUGAGACACGGCCCAGACUCCUACGGGAGGCAGCAGUGGGGAAUAUUGCACAAUGGGCGAAAGCCUGAUGCAGCGACGCCGCGUGAGGGAUGACGGCCUUCGGGUUGUAAACCUCUUUCAGCAGGGACGAAGCGCAAGUGACGGUACCU